rfam:Brachypodium distachyon strain Bd21 chromosome 2, whole genome shotgun sequence.
AAAGCAUCAGUGAUGUGUUUCCUCUAAUCAUCCUUGCACUUUGAGGGAAGUUACCAGUGAAGAAAUCAUUGGGGAUAAUAUUCUGAGAUGCAC